AGCAGUGGGGAAUAUUGGACAAUGGGGGCAACCCUGAUCCAGCCAUGCCGCGUGUGUGAAGAAGGCUUUCGGGUUGUAAAGCACUUUCAGUGAGGAGGAAAUGCCUGGGGCGAAUAGCUUCGGGUUUUGACGUUACUCACAGAAGAAGCACCGGCUAACUCCGUGCCAGCAGCCGCGGUAAUACGGAGGGUGCAAGCGUUAAUCGGAAUUACUGGGCGUAAAGCGCGCGUAGGCGGUCUGGUCAGUUGGGUGUGAAAGCCCCGGGCUCAACCUGGGAACUGCAUUCAAUACUGCCAGACUGGAGUAUGGGAGAGGGUAGUGGAAUUCCACGUGUAGCGGUGAAAUGCGUAGAUAUGUGGAGGAACACCCGUGGCGAAGGCGACUGCCUGGCCCAAUACUGACGCUGAGGUGCGAAAGCGUGGGUAGCGAACAGGAUUAGAUACCCUGGUAGUCCACGCCGUAAACGAUGUCAACUAGCCGUUGGGGAACUUGAUUCCUUAGUGGCGCAGCUAACGCGAUAAGUUGACCGCCUGGGGAGUACGGCCGCAAGGUUAAAACUCAAAUGAAUUGACGGGGGCCCGCACAAGCGGUGGAGCAUG
rnacentral:rRNA from 1 species